GUUGAAGGAAGCAGAACGUAUUU
rnacentral:piRNA from 1 species